AUAGUAAAAGGCGUUUGAUUAGACAAGUAUCUUUAUUUAACAGACAAAUUUAAUUGGAUAAUAACAUUUAAUAAUAAAGAAAGUAAAACUUUUGCUCUUGGAAGWUAAUAUCUCGGGUASUAUUAGYUAAGGGUAAUACUNNNCUAGCUUAAUACGCGUAGUCGUAACUGGAANNNUGAUCGACCACAGUGGGACUGAAUAAAUCCCAUGACGAUUGUCUCAGCAGUGAGGAAUAUUGGUCAAUAGCCUAACGGCUGAACCAGCAACUUGGAGGAAUGUAUAGCGAAAGCUAGUUGCAUUUAACUUAGCGAAAGCUAAGUUGAUGCAGGAUUGACUAUGUCAAAUAAAGUUCUAGGUGGGUUAUGAUGAUGACAUUUCCUAUCUAUGUGUCUUGACCAAAUUACGUGCCAGCAGUCGCGGUAACACGUAAAAGACUAGUGUUAUUCAUCUUUAAUAGGUUUAAAGGGUACCUAGACGGUAAAUCAAGUCCAAGAAGGGUACUAAUUUUACUAGAGUUUAAUAUGAGGGGGCACUAAAGUACUGAUAAGUGUAGAGAUGAAAUUCUGUGAUACAAUAUACGGCACUGGUAAAGGCGAAAGCAUCUCAUUAUGUAAUAACUGACGUUGAGGGACGAAGGCUAGGUGUAGCAAAAAGGAUUAGAUACCCAAGUAGUCUUAGCAGAAAAUUAUGAAUGUCAUAGGAUGGAAAGUUGGAUGGACAAACAACAAAUUUUUUUUCUAUAAAUGAAAGUGUAAGCAUUCCACCUCGAGAGUAAUUUGGCAACAUUGGAACUGAAAUCAUUAGACCGUUUCUGAAACAAGUAGUGAAGUAUGUUGUUUAAYUUGAUGGUCCGCAAAAAACCUUACCACAAUUUGAAUAGAAAAAUUUUUUUUCAUACAAGCGCUGCACGGUUGUCUUCAGUUAAUGUCGUGAGAUCUUGGUUAGUUCCAUUAAAUUAACGUAAACCCUUACUCUAUUUUUAWAUAGAGUAGUUCACCGCUAGAUU
rnacentral:rRNA from 1 species